UACAGAGGUCUCGAGCGUUGUUCGGAUUCAUUGGGCGUAAAGGGCGCGUAGGCGGCGGGGUAAGUCUGGUGUGAAAUCUCGGAGCUCAACUCCGAAAUUGCACUGGAUACUGCUCUGCUAGAGGGCUGGAGAGGAGAUCGGAAUUCACGGUGUAGCAGUGAAAUGCGUAGAUAUCGUGAGGAAGACCAGUGGCGAAGGCGGAUCUCUGGACAGUUCCUGACGCUGAGGCGCGAAGGCCAGGGGAGCGAAACGGG
rnacentral:rRNA from 1 species